rnacentral:rRNA from 1 species
CAGUAGCCACGGUAAUACGAAGGGGGCUAGCGUUGCUCGGAAUGACUGGGCGUAAAGGGCGCGUAGGCGGCGAUCAAAGUCAGGCGUGAAAUUCCUGGGCUCAACCUGGGGGCUGGCAAUGGAUACUGGCGAGCUAGAGUGUGUCAGAGGAUGGUGGAAUUCCCGGUGUAGCGGUGAAAUGCGUAGAGAUCGGGAGGAACAUCAGUGGCGAAGGCGGCCAUCUGGGACAACACUGACGCUGAGGCACGAAAGCGUGGGGAGCAAACAGGAUUAGAUACCCGUGUAGUCCCUGUCUCUUAUU